GCCAAUUUAAAAGAAAGCGGAUUCAAAAAUAUCGAGAUACGUGUUGACGGGUCAUAAACAUUAUACCGACUGUAUGAAUACAAGUGAUCAAAUUGCAUUAAACCAUUCAGUCAAUGCCAAUCAUCCCAGAGACAAGAAAUUAGAACAGUUGAUUAAACUGUCUGAGAUCUCACUAUGGUACUCUCACGAUAUUUCCAAAACGUCUAUCCUUCCUUUAUUUACGGAUUCCUUAUUCUUACAAGUUUGAUCUCAGUAUAUCCAGUGACCAAUACUGGUGAUUUCUUGGAAACGCGCAAUUCGACUCAUUGUCUUAUUGAUGGAAACAGGAAAACUGGAAACAGGAAAUUUUGCUACAGUAUAGGUAAUAUUAGCAUAGUUUUAAAGGGAAGAUGAAAGAAAAAGGAACUAUCAUGAUUUGUAGCGAGAUUUAAACUGACUAAAAUUUAAAGCCAACUUUUUGACUUUUCUUUUCAUGAGAAAGAUCAGCAGUGUAAUACUUUUUUAACGGUACAUAUCAUUAAUCAAAUAAACCUUGAACUUAGAGACGUUA